UUGUUUAUUGUUUUUUUAUUUUUUAUAUUAUUAAAAAUAAACAAUAAUUAUAAUCUAUAGGUACAGUAAUAUAAUAGUAAAUAAGCAAUUUUGAUUGCAUGAUUAAGUGACCGCGGUAUUAGUAGUAGAAUAAAUAUUGGGAAGGCACUCAGCAGUGGAACCCGACAACGUUUCAUUUAAAGUCGAAGUGAUGCCUUUUUAACCAAGACCAAGAGUUUGUCUUAGAAAUAAAAUUGGUAAUUUCUAUUAAUGUAACUACCUAGUCUUGAGGUAUACAUGCUGCGUAUUUAUUUAGUUCUAUACAGUGAAACAUAAGGAUUGCACCGAAAUCUGCAAAAUCAAACCAUGUCUGUGUAUAAAGCUUAAAUUGGUUAUCAAAAUGAACACGGAUCGCUUAACGGAUGACGUGUGUAGUUUGUACGACCAGUGGCUGUGUGGACCGCUGGCCACCAACUUGGAGUUCCACAGUGAGUUGUUAACACUCAUCGGUGUUCUCAAAAAGAUCAUAAAAGACUUAAACAGUACGACCGGCAAUCAUGGUGAACUGGAGUCGUUAAUAAAACGCCAUAGUCAAUGCCAGAGCAAGUAUCAGAUAUUGUUAACGCAAUUGGACCAAUAUAAUAUGCCGAGUCAACUCAGAGAACGUUGCGAAUGUACGCCGAACGACGGGGGAAAAAAAUAAAAAAAAUUUACAAAUAAACAUCACUAAUGUUACAUAGGUUUUAUUUUUUACAAGUAGUAAUAUGUAGUUUCAACGUUACUAAUUCAUAAUCUUGUUUUAAUUAUUUAAUUAUUUUGAAUAUAAUAAUAUAAUAUAAUUUUAAAAUUUUAAACAUAAUGGUAUAUGAUACUAUAUACAGGGUGGUCAGUGGAAAACGGAUGUUUUUGCAAUUGGUAUAACUGGGAAUAGCAUGGUCCCCCAAGGUUGCUGGCACUGUUAUCUUGUAACUCGGGAAUGUAAUUUUAGUAGUCAUGGACAAGUGGAGCGUUUUUGCUGUUUCCGAAUUUAUUCUGAAAUGGCGAGUCAAUUGUAUCCACGCGACGUGCUUUCCGUCGUCGGUUUAAACUUGGUGUACGUGACAUUGUUCCAGCGCGUAACACAAUUUUGCGGUGGGUAAACAAUUUUCGUACACAUGGUAGUGUGGCGGAAAAGAAAAAACUCGGUCCUACACCAGCAGUAGUUACGCCUGAAAAUGUUGAACGUGUAAGAGUGUCCGUUUUGCAGAGUCCACGUCGGUCCACCAGACGCCGCUCUCAAUCGCUAGACAUUGCUCGCACAAGUUUAAUGACAAUUUUGAAUAAACAAUUGAAGUUCCACCCUUACAAAAUAGUGAUCGUUCAAAAACUUCAACCGACUGACUACACUCAACGUGAACAGUUUAGGAGGCGCAUGUUUCAAAUUUUUAAAGAUCCACAUGCAGUGGUGAUGUUGACGGAUGAAGCCCACUUCCAUUUAGACGGUUAUGUUAACAAACAAAACUGUCGAUAUUGGGCUGCUCAAAACCCGCGAGAAUUGCAUCAUCGGCCUCUACACAGUCAAAAAGUAACGGUAUGGUGUGGAAUUUCCCACCUCGGAAUAAUUGGGCACUAUUUUUUCGAAAACGAGUGAGAAGAAGCAGUGACUAUCAACUCUGAGCGUUACCUCAGUAUGCUCCAAGAAUUUCUCAUCCCUCAUCUCGAAGAAAAUUAAGUUGACUUAGAAAAAAUCUGGUUUCAACAAGACGGAGCCACGGCUCACACCACGAGAGUUUCCAUUGCUUUUUUGCAAACAAUAUUCCCCGGGCGCGUUAUUUCCUGACAUGGUGACGUUCCCUGGCCUCCGCGCUCCCCCGAUAUCACUCCCUGUGACUUUUUCCUUUGGAGCUACGUAAAGUCAAAAGUGUAUGUGGACAAAUCAAGAAACAUUCAGGAGUUGAAGGAGUCAAUUAGACGUGAAAUUGUCGAAAUUCCGGACGAUAUGGUGAAGAAAGUGAUGGGCAACUUCAGGGACCGUCUUGUAUUAUAAGAAAAAUACAGUUAAACAAGAAGUCGGGCACUUUCAAGCGAAAUCAUUUUAUAGUCACAAUUCACAACUCACACUUACAAUUUGAAACAGAAUAUCAAAAAUAAUAUUACUGAAUACUAAUUUUUUUCUGCAUUGUUUUUUUUUUACCUUUCUAUUUAUUUAAUAUAAAUUACAUUUGUGAAAUUGUAAAUGCUAAAGGAUAAAAAAUUACAAAAACAUAUUUUUGCACUAGAACAAUAAUUAGUUAACUAUAGUAACGAUUUUCUUUUAAUUACUUAUUGAAAUAUUUGAAAAUUAAUAACAGCAUCUUGACGAUUUCAAUUACAAGUAAAUAUUAUAGGUAGUUCAACAAUCAUCAAUUAUUCAUCAGUAAUAAUUGGGUAGAGAUAUUUUUUAAAUAAUCAAAGAAACAUUAUAAAA
rnacentral:misc_RNA from 1 species